UGAUUAUCGUGACGUGAGCCUUCCUGAUCCCGGGGCAGCAGCAGCUGCUGUAUAUCUCACUGACACUGCCAGCGUGCUGAAAUCUCACAGCAGCAGCAGAGCCCACAUUCCAGCAGUAUCCUCUCCUACAGCCUUAAACGAUUGGGCUGCACUGCAGUGAGGAUGUCCUCCUGUUCCCAAAACCCUGCCCCUUCCAUCCGUACUUCCUUUCACUCGGUCUGCCGAGCAGUCAGCAAAUUGAGGUGGAGCUGUGUCGGGGGACAGGUGCUCUGCAGCUGGUGACUAGUGGUGCCCACAUGAAACUACAGAGACGCUGAGCCUGGCCUCCCACACUACUGUACAAGUAACAGGGUCGCUCUAUUGUUUGUUUCCAGACUAAUUUCUUUGUAGCCGAAGUAGGCCUGUUUAUUUUCUUUUUUGGACCCAAGUGUCUCUUCAUUUUCUGAGAAGGUCGCUCUAUUGUUUGUUUCCAGACUAAUUUCUUUGUAGCCGAAGUAGGCCUGUUUUUUUUCUUUUUUGGACCCAAGUGUCUCUUCAUUUUCUGAGCAGAUAUGGAGUACGCUCCUGCAUUGGUGAUGUCCAUAUAUGUGGCUGCUGAAGCCCUCCCACCCCAACCUGCGGAAGCACUCCCACCCCAACCUGCACAAGCCCUCCAACCCCAACCGGCUCAUCCUCCAAGGGCAAGCACAAUGGCAAGCAGCUGCUGGAAGGCAACAUCAUUCCCCACCAGCCCAAUCUCCUUCCCCACCUCAAGUCCCUGAACCCCAACAAAAUAUUUCCCCUUCCUCAUCCCCAACCUCCCCCUCUCCAAACCCCCCCCCUCUCUUUCCCAAACCCCCUUGCCGCCCCCCUCCCCCUCUCUGACACAAUCCCCUUCUUUGCCCCCCUCCCCUUCUGUGGCACCCACCCCCUCUCCGCCCCCUCCCCCUCUGUGACACAAACCCCCUCUCCACCCCCCUCCCCCUCUGUGACAAUCCCCCUCGUUGACCCCCUCCCUCUCUGUGGUCCAACCCACCUCAGCCCCCCUCCCCUUCUGUGGUCCAACCCACAUAUCUGCCCCCCUCCCCCUCUGUGGACCAACCCACCUCUCUUCCCCCCUCCCCCUCUGUGGUCCAACCCACCUCCCUGCCCCCUCCCACUCUGUGGCCCAACCCACCUCUCUGCCCCCCUCCCCCUAUGUGGCCCAACCCACCUCUCUGCCCCUCUUCCCCUCUGUGGUCCAACCCACCUCUCAGCCCCCCUCCCCCUCUGUGGCCUAACCCACCUCUCUGCCACCUUCCCCCUCUGAAUCAGACCCACCCUCUGUAACCAGCUCCCCCUUCCAUCCUUCUUCCCCCAUCCAGCCUCCUUCCGCCAUCCAGCCUCCUUCCCCACCUACUGAAUGGGCAGCAGAGGCCCCGGAGGAACUUCAGGGAGAUGCGCAUGUGCCAGAGGAGAAUGUUGCAGUUGGAGAUCCCACCAGUUUACCAUGGAUUGUGGCCAGCCUCAAAACCAAUCUGAGGGCCGUGCUGGCUGAUCUUGAAAAAUUAGAAACCUUUUUCUAAAAAAAAAAAAAAAUACGAAAAAUUGCAAAUACAUUUUUUUUUGUUCAAGUUAA